rnacentral:lncRNA from 1 species
GGAUGGUUUCUGUAUAGGCAUACUUCGUUUUACUGUGCUUUGCAGAUUAUUGUUGUUGUUGCUUUUCAAAUUGAAGGUUUGUGGCAACCUUGCAUCAAGCAAAUAUACUGGUGCCAUUUUUCUAAGUUUUUGCUCACUGCAGGUCUCUGUGUCACAUUCUGAUAGUUCUUGUACUAUUUCAAAUGUUUUCAUCAUUAUAAUUUUUAUGGUGAUCUUUGAUGUUACUAUGGAAAUUGUUAUAGGGCACAAGGACCAUGUCCACCUAAGAAUGGCGAACCUAACUGAUAAAUGUUUUGUGUGUUCUGACUGUUCCACCAAGCAGCCUUUUCUGCCAUCCCUUUCUCUCUCCUCAGGCCUCCCUCUUCGAGACCGAUAAUACUGAAACCAGGCCAAUUAAGAAUACUACAAUGGGGGCAGCCCAGGUGGCUCAAGCCGUUGGCUCAGGGAGUGAUCCUGGAGUCCUGGGAUGGAGUCCCACGUCAGGCUCCCUCCCUACAUGGAGCCUGCUUCUCCCUCUGCCUGUGUCCCUGCCUCUCUCUCGCUCUCUGUGUCUCUCAUGAACAUGAAUAAAUAAAUAAAAUCUUUAAAAAAAAAUACUACAAUGGCCUCUAAGUGGUCAGCUGAAAGGAGAGUCAUGCAUCUCUCACUUUAAAUCAAAAGCUAGCAAUGAUUCAGCUUAGUGAGAAAGGCAUGUCAAGAACCUAGAUAGGCUGAAAGCUAGACCUCUUGUACUAACAGUUAGACAAACUGUGAAUCCAAAGGACAGGUUUUUGAAGGAAAUUCAAAGUGCUACUCCAGCAAACACACACAACAUAAGAAAGGGAAACAGCCUUAUUGCUGAUAUGGAGAGUUUUAGUGGUCUAUAUAGAAAUCAAACCAGCCACAACAUUUCCUUAGGCCAAAGCCCAAUCCAGAGGAAGGCCCUAACUCCCUUCAAUUCUGUGAAAGAGAGACAGGUAAGGAAGCUAUAGAAGAAAACUCUGAAGCUAGCAGAGGUGGUUCAUGAGGGUUAAGAAAAGAAGCCUUCUCCAUUACAUAAAAGUGCAAGAUGAGGCAUCAAGUCCAGAUAGAGCAGCUGCAGCAAGUUAUCCAGAAUAUCUAGCUAUGGUAAUAUAAUGAAGGUCACUACACUAAACAACAUAUCUUCAAUGUAGAUAAAACACCCUUCUUUUGGAAGAAGAUGCCAUCUGGGAUCUUCAUAGCUAGAGAGGAGAAGUCAGUGCCUGGCUUCAAAGCUUCAAAGGACAAGCUGACUUUGUUGUUAGGGACAAAUGUAGCUGAUGACUUUAUAUUGAAGCCAGCACUCAUUUUAGCAUUCUAAGAAUCCUACAACCCUUAAGAAUUAAGCUAAAUCUCCUCUCCCUGUGCUCUAUAUAUGGAAUAACAAAGCCUGAAUUACACCACAUCUGUUUAUAAUGCAAUUUAUCAAAUAUUUUAGGUCCACUGUUGCGACCUGUUGCUCAGAAAAAAAAGAUUCCUUUUAUAAUAUUACUGUUCAUUGACAAUGCAGCUGGUUACCCAAGAGCUGCAAUGAAGAUGCAUGAUGAGAUCAAGAUUGUUUUCAGGCCUGCUAACAUAACAUCUAUUCAGCAGCCAAUGGGUCAAGGAGUAAUUUCAACUUUUAACUAUUACUUAAGAAAUACAUCUCAUAAGGCUAUAUACUUGCCAUUGAUAGUAACUCCACUGAUGGAUCUGGGCAAAGUAAAUUGAAAAUCUUCUGGAAAGGAUUCACCAUUCUAGAUGCCAUUAAGAACAUGUGUGAUUCACGGGAAGAGGUCAAAAUAUCAAUACGAGCAGGAGUUUGGAAGAAGCUGAUUUCAACCCUCAUGGAUGACUUUGAGGGUUUCACACUUCCAUGGAAGAAGGAACUGCAGAUGUGGUAGAAACAACAAGAGAACUAGAACUAGAAGUGAAGUCUGAAGAUGUGAGUGAAUUGCUGCAAUCUCAUGAUCAAACAUGAAUGGAUAAAAAGCUGCUUCUUAUGG